UACGGGGGGAGCAAGCGUUGUUCGGAUUUACUGGGCGUAAGGGCGCGUAGGCGGCCAGCACAAGUCAGUUGUGAAAUCUCCGAGCUUAACUCGGAAAGGUCAACUGAUACUGUGCGGCUAGAGUGCGGAAGGGGCAACUGGAAUUCUUGGUGUAGCGGUGAAAUGCGUAGAUAUCAAGAGGAACACCUGCGGCGAAGGCGGGUUGCUGGGCCGACACUGACGCUGAUGCGCGAAAGCUAGGGGAGCAAACGGG
rnacentral:rRNA from 1 species